UGGGGAAUCUUGCCCAAUGGGCGCAAGCCUGAGGCAGCAACGCCGCGUGCGGGAAGAAGGCCCUCGGGUUGUAAACCGCUUUCAGCAGGAACGAAAAUGACGGUACCUGCAGAAGAAGGUGCGGCCAACUACGUGCCAGCAGCCGCGGUGACACGUAGGCACCAAGCGUUGUCCGGAUUUAUUGGGCGUAAAGAGCUCGUAGGCGGUUCGGUAAGUCGGGUGUGAAAACUUUGGGCUCAACCCAAAGCCUGCAUCCGAUACUGCUGUGACUUGAGUCCGGUAGGGGAGUGGGGAAUUCCUGGUGUAGCGGUGGAAUGCGCAGAUAUCAGGAGGAACACCGGUGGCGAAGGCGCCACUUCUUGGGCCGGUACUGACGCUGAGGAGCGAAAGCGUGGGGAGCGAACA
rnacentral:rRNA from 1 species